GACGAACGCUGGCGGCGUGCCUAAUACAUGCAAGUAGAACGCUGAAGGAGGAGCUUGCUUCUCUGGAUGAGUUGCGAACGGGUGAGUAACGCGUAGGUAACCUGCCUGGUAGCGGGGGAUAACUAUUGGAAACGAUAGCUAAUACCGCAUAAGAGUAGAUGUUGCAUGACAUUUGCUUAAAAGGUGCAAUUGCAUCACUACCAGAUGGACCUGCGUUGUAUUAGCUAGUUGGUGGGGUAACGGCUCACCAAGGCGACGAUACAUAGCCGACCUGAGAGGGUGAUCGGCCACACUGGGACUGAGACACGGCCCAGACUCCUACGGGAGGCAGCAGUAGGGAAUCUUCGGCAAUGGACGGAAGUCUGACCGAGCAACGCCGAGUGAGUGAAGAAGGGUUUCGGAUCGUAAAGCUCUGUUGUAAGAGAAGAACGAGUGUGAGAGUGGAAAGUUCACACUGUGACGGUAUCUUAACAGAAAGGGACGGCUAACUACGUG
rnacentral:rRNA from 1 species